AAUCACUCCCUUGGGGCGUUCUCCUCCCAUUAGCCCCUGGGUGAGUGUUCCCCUCUGGAGGUUUCGCCUUUAUGGCACUCCAACGAUUGGGCCGGAUCUCUUGAUCCGGCCUCUUUU
rnacentral:sRNA from 1 species